CCACCCAUGAAGAUCACAUUGCUUUACGCCACCCAGAAGAUGGUUCUGUGAUGAUUCAAGCAAUGGAUGAAGUCUUUCAGAAACAUGGCAAGAAGUUGCAUAUUGUGGAUUUUUUUACUCAAGUGAACAACAGAGUGGUGCACACAGACUUUUACAUGGACGAGGAUCCUGUCAAAGUGGUGCCUGUCAUGGAGUCCACUCUCACCAAAGCUGUGUACUUUUGACGCUUGGUGGAGGCAGAGGUGGAGGAGGUGGAAGAUUUUCAGUACAGAAUAAUUUGUUUAUGCAUUAGCACUGUGCUUUACACUGUAUCAAAUACUGGCUCUUAUGUGUUGGAUGUAAUGUGUUGUGAAGGUUUCAUCAGAAACUGCAGCACAAAGCAGUCAGUCUUAUAUCCUGACACUCUGGACAAUCCCUGCACUUGUCAUUACUAAGUGAA